GCCGAAGUGGUGGAAUUGGCAGACGCGCUGGAUUCAAAAUCCAGUGGCCCUUUCGGCUGUGCGGGUUCGACCCCCGCCUUCGGCA
rfam:Halanaerobium hydrogeniformans chromosome, complete genome.